UACAGAGGUCCCAAGCGUUGUUCGGAUUCACUGGGCGUAAAGGGUGCGUAGGUGGCCAGGUAAGUUCGGUGUGAAAGCUCGGAGCUUAACUCCGAAAUGGCAUCGAAUACUAUCUGGCUAGAGGGUCGGAGGGGAGACUGGAAUUCUCGGUGUAGCAGUGAAAUGCGUAGAUAUCGAGAGGAACACCAGUGGCGAAGGCGAGUCUCUGGACGACACCUGACACUGAGGCAGCGAAAGCCAGGGGAGCAAACAGG
rnacentral:rRNA from 1 species